GCUAUCCCUAGUGUAGAGGUCAGUCAUCGUUUUGCAAGAUGCCUUUGUGGGACAGAAAAUAUGAGGAUGUUUUCUCAUAUUCUCUUCUUGACAUGUCGUUAUUCCUAUGACAGCUCAGCGUGAUGCCACCAUGCUGACCACAUCUCAUUUUCCCUGUUGCAUACAGAGAAGGGCUCUGAUUAGAGUGGGAUGCACAUUCAUAUAUAAGCAUAUUUUUUUUGUCCUCCCCGCAAACUCCUCUUCUCAUGGGCUUCGUGCCAGAGAGGAAAAACACCAGGAUUCCUUUCCAGGCUGCGGCUCUAGUUUAUUUCUUAAAGCAAUGUUAUAUAUACUGCAGAAACCUCUAUUAUUACUGACUGAAUCCAUGUACAAGAAUUGCACAGUAAUGUUUAAACGAUAUGCACUUGUGGGCUUUGAUUCAACAGAGCAAGUGCACUUCAACUGUAGCUUCAAUCCCAUUAAUCAGCUGUUUGGCAGGGAAGAGGAGAGUUUGCAUCUGUGUGGGAGGGGGUGACUGAAUGCAGCCUCCCAUUUAGCUCCAAACAGCUGAUCAGUGGGAUUCCGAUUUUUUUAAAAAAAAAUAGGGAUAUGCAUACACAAGCCUUGGCUGCCUGGUUCAGAUUUGGGAACUGUGUGUGCCAGAUCCAUUUUUCAUCUAGCAAGGGAUAUGCCUGAGGAAGCCAGGUUCCAUGCAGUUUAGUUUUUAAUCAAAACAGGUUGAACAAAUGACAGGCUUUAAUGUAACCUGGAAGUGAACAAAGAUCCCAAAAUAUCUGGCAGCCAGCUAUACCGCAGUCAACAAAUAUCCAAUGAGCCUUUGAAAAUAUUCCAAAGUAUAUUUUGUGUGUUUUACCACAAUGACCCCAAUGCCUGUCAUUUAAUGUGGCCAGUGGGAUGAAUGCUGCAGAGGAUACUUUCCUGCACUAAAGUCCAUUCUUUCCUUUCCAGCAAGAGGGAAAAGUAAACGGAGGUUGCCUUUGAGUGUGCCAGGCGCACAGCGCGAUGCAUAAAGGCACUGAUUCACUUACGUUGUCUUGGCAAGGCUAUAGAGCCAACCCUCACCUCUCCCCACUUUUAGCUGUCUGUUGUAAAUCAGCUGCAAACGCUGCCCUGCUGCAUUGUGUAGCAUUGCUGCUGUUGUUGUUGUUGUUUUCUGGAACAUGCUUUUGAUGUGCAUUGUAGACCCAGGAACAAUCUUAGUCACAUAUAAGGGGUGAUUACCAGCUAUGCUGUGGCUUUUUAGUUGCCAUGCAAAACCUACUGGUGUUAAACAGUCAUUCUAAAUAGCAAGAAAUAUAAAGGGAAUUAUUGGCAAAGGCCCAUUUUUUGCGAAAAAGUGAACUUCCUUUUCAUCUGGAAGAAACUAUUGGGUGGAAGAAUUCCUUACUUAUUAGUCUGUUGAUUGCUUACCUUUCUCUUGCUCCCCUUUGUUCACCCCUUAUUGGUUUUUCAUCUGUACUUUUGAGAACACCGUUGUCUACUGAAUCAUGGGCAUAAAAAAAUGAGUCUGCUUAGCACUAAUUAGAAUUGGGCCUUCAAAUCUCUGCAUGAAUAAAAAUAGUAUUUAAUGUUUGUUUAUAGCUUUUGGGAAUUCAAAGUGGUUUCAUGUGCACUAUCUAGUUAUAAUCCUUACAACAACCUUGUAAAGUAAUCUGUAUUACUAUUUUCCCAUAUUGUAGAUGGGUAAUGGCAGCUGAGAGAAAGUGGCUUGUGACAGAGGCAGGAUUCCAACUAGGGCCUUCUGUUUGGUAGGUCAGUCUUUUAGCCACUACAGUGCGCCAAGUCUCAUUACCUUGACAUAACUCAUGGAACAUUCUCCUUAGCAAUGCUUUGAAGAUAACCCUUAGACUGGGAAGACACUCUGGGGUGGGGAGUGGCUAAAUCUCUUCUCCCAGUGGCAGAGGCUGAGGUGGGAAAUUGCACCAAGCACAGUAUAUGUAAGUCAGAAUCUGUGGAUGUGGGAAGGGUUAAGCACCUCCUACCUGCUAGUUCUUUCCUACUCAGGACUUGGUCCUGCAUUACCCCUGCAAACAUGGGUUGGAAACAUACAUCAGCCAAUACGACAUGUAGUUCCACCUUUAAUGACCAGGUGGAGUCUUCACUGCUAUGAGCUUGUUUGACAAAUGUGUUAUUUCUCUGAAAACCUAGUGGAAUCUAUGCUAGCAGCACAUGUGGUUUUAUUUAUUUAUUUUCCAAUCCAUCCCUCCCUUGCAACCACCCUGCGAGCUAAUUUAGCUCCUAGCCCCAGGCCACUCACUGAAAACAAAUGUGAAACCCAAUUUCCCAAGCCUGGUACUAGCUGUGGCACCAUUCUGCCUCUUCUUUCUAAGUCAACUAAUGCUACGCCAUUCGCUGGAAGAUCAUUAUGAAUUUGGGGCCAUUUAAAGGGGUAACGACUACAACACCAACAGAACUCUGACUUUCUGGCGCUAGAAACUGCGCUUACCUGGAAAGGUGUUUUGCAAUAUUCAGAAUGCUACACCUGUGUCCUAGAAUGUGAGUACAAGCCUCUUUUCACAUUGCAACAAAUCCCCUGUUGCCUGGCGGGCGGGCGGGCAAUGCCUUGGAGAUGUCACUAUCGGCAAACACAUCUUGACAGGACACAUAUGCUUCUGCUCCAGCACUUUUUGGGUUUCUCAGAGAGAUCCUGAAAAUUGAUGAGAUAUGUGGAAAGCAAGCAGAGGUGUGGCGACAAUGCACCUGAACAUCUGCUCUGUUUCCUUUCCAUCACUAAGGUUAGCAUUCAUUUGGUUAUACGUUAAAUGGACCUGAGUACAUUGUGAAAAUAUCAGAGAGAAGGAUGCAUUGACCCUUCAGUCCAUUCACACUGCCCUGUUUCCCAACUCACCACAAUGUACAAAAUGCUCAAAAUUUGCUAAGAGUGUAGCAUUUUGUUCUGACUGGCGGCAAGGGAACAAAACAAUCAAUCUGCAAGCUUGGAGGUGGUCCAACUUGGUACCCCCAUUAGGUUCUUUUGAUGAAAGCCAGUAAGCAUUUUAUUUCAGAGGUGAGGGGGAGUAUGCCGUCCAGCUAGAAAUAAAAAUUCAGAAGUUGCCAACUUGGUGGAAACGGAAUGUAGGCUGGAAAAACUGUGAGCGCUGCAAAAAGAGAGAGGAGGCUUUAAUGAAUGCAGGGAGGCCAGCUAGCUUGAACAAGAGAGACCUUGUUCUGGCUUUGGUACACUAGGGGCCCUCAAAAUGUGUCAGGUUUUGUUGCAACGAGGCUGUUUGUGAGAUGGAUGCAAAGCAAUACAGUAUCAGUUGUCCACUGUGCACUUCAAUGGAGAUUGGUGGUGCUGAUGUUAUGUACCAGAUUAUUAUUUUUUAAUGACGUGCAAAUUUCUUGUUUCAAAGAGAUGCCUCCUCUUACACUUAUUACUUCCACAGGGCUAAAAUCCGAAAGCAUUGUAAGAUCUAAUAAGAAAAAUAUAAAGCGUUGUUGUUGUCAUCUGAUGCCUGCAACUUGGUUGUCAACAUCAGAAUAGGAUAUUGAUGGAAAUUUGCUAGGAUCAGCACCCCGCCUCCCCGGAAAUGAAAGUAAGGGAAAUCCCUACAGCUGCCACUGCCACUAUGGACCCCACUUCCCUGGACUUGAAAAAGCCUGUAGAAGGGUUGUGCAUGGAUUCUCACAGAAGCAUAGUACCUGUGGUAUCUGUUGCAUUACAGAACUGUGGCUUUUUAAUGAAAAUAACUCCACGUCUCGUUAAAUGGUGGGAAAGAACUGUAUGCCAGGUACUGCCCUAAAUUUCAUCAUGUGAAAUUAAAACACAAGACUCCAAUGCAGUCUCUCAUCCAGGCACUGACCAGACCAAGGCCUGUUUUUCUUCAGCAAGGUGGUGGGUGGCCUCUAAUGUCUUCAGGCCAUUCCCUGGUCUGGCUUCGGUAAGAUUUCACAGCACCUGAUUUUAGCAGAUGUGCAAUAAAAUGGACACCUUCCCAGACAGCAGCUCAUAUAGUGGAUUGUCUAAUUUUAAGAAGACCACCUGGCCACCUUUAGAAGACUCCCAUAAGAGGCAGUGAUGACCACCAACUUGGAUGACGUUAAAAGAGGAUUAGAUGGAUUUGUGGAGGAUAAGGUUAUCAGUAGCUGCUAACCCUGAUGGUUAUGUUCUGACUCUGCUGUUGGGGGCAAUAUGCUUCUGAAUACCAGUUGUUGGGAAGCACAGGAAAGGAGAGAGCUGUUGUGAUGUGGGCCUGCUUGUGAGCUUCCCAUGGGCAUCUGGUUGGCCACUGUUAGCACAGGAUGUUCGGUGAGAUGGGUCUGAUUCAGCAGGAUCUUUUUACGUUCUUACUACAAACUAGAACUUCCUUCUUACUGCGCCUUCUGCCUUUGGAAUAUUUCUUACAAUAAUUUCUGCAAGAUUGUUGUUCCUGAGAAACAACACUUCUGAGGCCUGGGGUGGGUGACAGGACAGAAUUCUGCCAUGUUAAUAUAGUGGCCUUAUUUUAGGAUGAAUGUUUUUUUAAAAAAUAAAUAUGGUAGAUUCCUGUAAUCCAUAUUUUGUGAUGAUAAAAACUCAUUCUGUUUGCUUUCUCCCCCAUGACAUGAUAGUCCUGUGUAAGCAGCACUCCCAUUUAGAUCAUCUGUCUUAUGUGAGAAGUCAAGUUGUAUUGUUCAUAAUCAACCCCCUAGGAUUGCAGGGGGGUCCUCCUCUGUCUCCUGAGACUUUAUAUAAUAUGAGCAAAACUGAUGAAACAAGAACUCCAUUGACUUUACAUAACAUCAUGGACUUAGCUGACCGUUUUUACUUGCAGAGCACAAGAGACUUUCCUGAACCUUAACAUCAUGAGAUUCUUAUGUGACUCAGUGAAUCUAAUUUUUUUUAACAGUAUGUUCCUUAAACUUGUGCCCCUAGUAAACAAAAGUGUGAUUCUCUGGCCAGAUAGAUUGUAGCCAAAAACAAAUGUUUACAAUAGUAGACAAUUUAGAGAUGGCUGAAUAUUUAAGGCAGGCAACCCUACUACUAGACUUUACCCUAAGCCUUAUGUUCAUCAGCUAUAUUCAAGAAAGAAGUUACCAUAGUAGAAACUACUCAGCAUCUACAUGUCUGCCUUAGAUGUCUGUGCUGGGUUUCAGCCUGCAGAAGAUGCCAUAAUUUCUUAUAUUUUGCAGAUACAGCGAUCCACAUGCCCUGUCCAAGGCAUUUACUUCCCAGACUCCAAGUCUCAGAUCAGACUAUUAGUGGUUUGUGACUAUUUUGCAUUUUCCUGUAAAACAGUUCACAUCGGAUAAUGCACAAAAUAUGAAAUGUUUCAUCUGAGUUUCUAAAACGACAUCAGAAGAGAUCACAUUUCAUUUUUGAAAACCCCAGAGAAUUAACCAGUAAUACUCCUUCUCUACACAGAUGAGGGAAAGUGAGUCCAAAGGGGCUGUGGGGCCAUGCUUUUAAGUACACUGCUGUCAUCUUCCUGGCUGUUCACAAAUUCACUAGUACUUUCUGCAGCAGGGAGCCGUUUCUACUUAUUUGGCCUGGUUUGCAUGCUGGUGCACAGAGACAAAAUCUCAGCUGCCUUAUUCCUCUCCUGCUGCUUCCAGUUCCACCCAGAGCUAAGCCAUAAUUUGGCUUAGUGUUAUGUCUGAAACCAGGCUUGUGGUUUGUCUUGCUGUAAGCCAAACCAUGGAUUAGCCCAUGGCAGUGCAACAGCAGCAGGAGUCGGGGAGGAGCAACUAGCCAUGAGCAACUAGCCAUGUGCACCCAUCAUGCUUGCUCAUCCAUGCCAAGCCAUAGUUUGGCUUACUAUUACAUGCAAACAAGGCCAUAGAGGCGCCCCACUUAACUCUAAAUCCUCUAUGGCAACUCUUGCCUCUAUGGCCUCAGAGACACCCCAUUAUAAAACAGUCUCUGUCCUUGACCAUCCCUGCUAUGCUUGUCCAAAACUGUGUCCUUGCUAGCUUUCCUAGGUUUCAGGAAUAUUCUUGGCUGGUUUUAUGGGAAUGAGGUAGGGUUAUAUUUUUGAAAGCAGUAGUGAAUGCUUCUAGCCACGAAGACAUUUAGGCCUUUCUUCAGGCAUCAGGUUCAUGACUAAAUAGAUGUUUACAGGUUUGCAAAUAGCUUUACCUGUCCUCACUAGCCACUGCUUAUAAAACAUAGCCUCUUGAAGCUUUAUUUACUGUAUUAGCAGAUGCGUGCAGUGUCUUUUUGGAUUUCUCUCCAGAAUAAGCCUCAAAAAGGCAAGCGGAAAAUCAAGCUAUUUUGCUUGCUUAGUCUGACCAGGAGCACAGUUUGUUAUGCUGUGCUGUACUUUUCAAAACUGCAAGCUUCUGUCUUCCUUCUGCAGUUCCCUUGAUCACAGCAGGAUGUGAAGCUGCCACACUAACAGAAAUGACUGGAAUUGCAUGUGUGGAGUCCCAGUUCACACAAUACAGGUCUUCACACAAUGCCCAUACUAAGGUAAUCAAGUGAGAGUGCCAGGACAUGUGACAAGCAUCCCUUUUGUAUAAGAGGCAGCAUGCAUGCCAUGUGGCAUUAGGUGCCAUAGUGCUUUCACUGCUCUUUCACUUGCUGGAAACAUGGCAGGUGUUGCCAGUGGGGCUAUGCCACUUGCUUAAAUCAGUUUUAAAGAGCCCAUACAGACUAAUGGGAGAGCAUAAAACUGCUGAUGGAUACGCAAGCAGGCAGCGGAAGAAAACGGCAAUGGUACAAACCAGAUGCUUGUUUGUUUAGCACAAAAUGAUUAUUACCAACCCAAAUGAACAGCAGACUGGAUCUCUGGCAUAAUUUGAGGCAGGUCUCAUCAAGGCUUAGUCUCAGAGCUUGUGUCUACCAUGACGGUUCAGCCAUGAAACAGAGGAAGC